CAGGGAGGCGGAGCCUAGCUACCAAAAAGAGAGAAGUCGCAUGCCACUGCAGCUCCGAACUAAAAGCCGACAAAAUCAUACUUUUAAGGGCUAUUUCCUGCUAUACCGAGAUCCCAGACAUCAAACCCGCACACCUUACCACCAUGGGACGCAAAACAAAAAAGCCCAAACAGGACCGACCUAACCUGCGGAUGAACAUCGGUGAAAUGUGGCGCCAAGCACAUGGCGCAAGCGGGCCCAAGAUGUCCGCGCUGUAGAGUGGUUGUUCCGAUUUCUCGGAUGGCUUCGGAGGAGGAAGAGACACUUUCAAUCACACUGGCGAAACCCCCACCAACAAAACAGACAAAACCGGACACAUCCCCGGUUACAAUCUCGGCCUUAAAGGGACUCCUUGCGGAACUACAGACCACCCUGCAAGCAGACAUUGCCACGAUACGUGGAGGGCUGCAGGGACUAACAGGCCGAAUCGACACACUAGAAACUACCACCCACCAGGACUCCCAGCGGAUACAGGUGCUGGAGAGAGCAGUGCAGGACCUCCAGCGGCAAAAUCAGGCCCAUGAACGCCGCUUCGCAGCCCAGGAAGACCUACGACGGCGGAACAAUUUUAAAAUCAGGGGGUACCCGACGCGGUCCCCGAAGCGGAGCUGCCGCACUUAAUGAGAAGAAUGAUGGGAGACCUACUACCACCCAAGUAGGCCAAAGCAAUUCCCCUGGACGGGCUUUUCCGUAUCCCCAAACCGGCCAAAGCCUCACCAACGGCAUUGAGCGACCUGAUCAUCCAAUUCUGGCACCGAGCAGACAAGAUGGCAAUCCUGAAGGCAAUCAGGGGUAAGCCAAACUACCUCUUCGAAAAUAUGGCAUUGGAAUUUUACAGUGACCUGUCCAACAGUACAAUGGCCUGGCGGAGGUCAUUCAAGCCCCUUACCUCACUACUCCAACAGCGCAUUAUAGGAUACCGCUGGCGCCUGCCCCGCAUGCUCCAGGUCAUACACUGAGAGACCACACACCAACUCCAGGAUCUACGAGAUGCAGGCACACUCCUAAGGGACUUAGGACUACCGCAGGACCGUUUAUUAAAACCUCAGUCGCAACCCAAUAACUGGGACCCAAGCAAAAUCACCCUGUUUACACCACGAUGACACACAGCGGAUCCGUACGCUACAGCGAAUACAUGAAGCCCCGAGAGGCUCUCUGACCAGGACUGAUAGCGACUGAGAUGGUCCCCAUGUUACUUCUCAUAACUUAAGUUUUGUGUUCAUCGUUUAUUUAGAUUUGACAAGGUGCACUACAUGCCUACCAACAGGUUUGCGGCACCUCACAUUCCAUAAGUUAACCCCUGCCGGCACCGCACCAUGCACGCCUAGGCUGGGUUCAUCUUACUAA